rnacentral:rRNA from 1 species
UACGGAGGGUGCAAGCGUUAUCCGGAUUCACUGGGUUUAAAGGGUGCGUAGGCGGGCAGGUAAGUCAGUGGUGAAAUCUCCGGGCUUAACCCGGAACUGCCGUUGAUGCUAUCUGUCUUGAAUAUUGUGGAGGUAAGCGGAAUAUGUCAUGUAGCGGUGAAAUGCUUAGAUAUGACAUAGAACACCAAUUGCGAAGGCAGCUUACUACACAGUUAUUGACGCUGAGGCACGAAAGCGUGGGAUCAAACAGG